ensembl:lncRNA
CAUCCCCCAUCUGCAAGGAGGAGGUUUUACAUGCACGCCCAUAGUCACCAGUGAGAAUAAGACAUACACACUCAUACACCAACCCACAACAAAACCUGCACAGGCACAGCAGGGGAGCUCGCACCAGGAAGCUGACUUAACCCAAACCACUCAGCGAUUUCUCGUCAUACUAUAUCUGGGUCUGCUGCCACUGCUGCCUCCAGAUGAACUAAACGCAGACUCUAGGACUGAUUUGGCCAGUACGUGCAGUGCUACCUGGUUACUUCUUCUUUUUUUUUUUUUCUUUUUCUAUAAUAUAAUUGUUCUGAUCUGGUUAAAAAUAAGCCAUCUGAAAACCAAGAACACAGAACUCCACUCUUCUUUUUUUCCUCCCCUAUCUCGCUUAGAGUAUUUGACUUCCGUAACGUUUAUUUUCGACAGCCACUUUCAGCUUCCUGCGUCUGCCGUGUUUCCACCUGUGGAUGGGGCGGGAGUGGGGCUGUGGCAUCCGGAGGAGGCCGGCUUUAACAAAGGAUUUGUCCUGAAGAAAACAUUUACAGAGGAAAAAGAAACAUAAUUUGACUCACUGAAGAAUUAAAACUGACAGCACCACAGAGCUGUGUGGGAGAAAAGGGGAUUUUAGACUCAAGUGACACAAUCAAAUCUUGAAGUGAAGAAGUUUGGAUGGCUUCUCACCAAAUGGAAGUGAUCUAGAGAGCCCUCUGAGAACGUUGCAUCUCCGCAUCCAGCUCCUACUGCGUCGAGACGGUGCACU